rnacentral:rRNA from 1 species
UACGUAGGGGGCAAGCGUUGUCCGGAUUUAUUGGGCGUAAAGAGCGUGUAGGCGGCCAGACAGGUCAGCUGUGAAAACUCGAGGCUCAACCUCGAGACGUCGGUUGAAACCGUCUGGGCUAGAGUCCGGAAGAGGAGAGUGGAAUUCCCGGUGUAGCGGUGAAAUGCGCAGAUAUCGGGAGGAACACCGGUGGCGAAGGCGGGUCUCUGGGACG